rnacentral:rRNA from 1 species
GACGAACGCUGGCGGCGUGCUUAACACAUGCAAGUCGAACGGAAAGGCCCCUUUGGGGGUCCUCGAGUGGCGCACGGGUGAGUAACACGUGAGUAACCUGCCCUUGACUUCGGGAUAACUUCAGGAAACUGGGGCUAAUACCGGAUAGGAAUCCUUGCUGCAUGGUGGGGGUUGGAAAGCUUCGGCGGUUUUGGAUGGACUCGCGGCUUAUCAGCUUGUUGGUGGGGUAGUGGCUUACCAAGGCUUUGACGGGUAGCCGGCCUGAGAGGGCGACCGGCCACAUUGGGACUGAGAUACGGCCCAGACUCCUACGGGAGGCAGCAGUGGGGAAUAUUGCACAAUGGGCGGAAGCCUGAUGCAGCAACGCCGCGUGCGGGAUGACGGCCUUCGGGUUGUAAUCCGCUUUCAGCAGGGGCGAAGCUUGUGGUGACGGUACCUGCAGAAGAAGCACCGGCUAACUACGUG